rnacentral:rRNA from 1 species
AUUGAACGCUGGCGGCAGGCCUAACACAUGCAAGUCGAACGGUAACAGGAAACAGCUUGCUGUUUCGCUGACGAGUGGCGGACGGGUGAGUAAUGUCUGGGAAACUGCCUGAUGGAGGGGGAUAACUACUGGAAACGGUAGCUAAUACCGCACAACGUCGCAAGACCAAAGAGGGGGACCUUCGGGCCUCUUGCCAUCGGAUGGGCCCAGAUGGGAUUAGCUAGUUGGUGGGGUAACGGCUCACCAAGGCGACGAUCCCUAGCUGGUCUGAGAGGAUGACCAGCCACACUGGAACUGAGACACGGUCCAGACUCCUACGGGAGGCAGCAGUGGGGAAUAUUGCACAAUGGGCGCAAGCCUGAUGCAGCCAUGCCGCGUGUAUGAAGAAGGCCUUCGGGUUGUAAAGUACUUUCAGCGGGGAGGAAGGGAGUAAAGUUAAUACCUUUGCUCAUUGACGUUACCCGCAGAAGAAGCACCGGCUAACUCCGUGCCAGCAGCCGCAGUAA